GACGAACGCUGGCGGCGUGCUUAACACAUGCAAGUCGAACGGAAAGGCCCUGCUUUUGUGGGGUGCUCGAGUGGCGAACGGGUGAGUAACACGUGAGUAACCUGCCCUUGACUUUGGGAUAACUUCAGGAAACUGGGGCUAAUACCGGAUAGGAGCUCCUGCUGCAAGGUGGGGGUUGGAAAGUUUCGGCGGUUGGGGAUGGACUCGCGGCUUAUCAGCUUGUUAGUGGGGUAGUGGCUUACCAAGGCUUUGGCGGGUAGCCGGCAUGAGAGGGUUACCGGCGACAAUGGUACUAAGGUACGGACCAGUGGGGAACGGGAGGCAACAGUGGGGAGUAUUACACAGUGGGCGGGAGCGUGAUGCGACGGCGCCGGGUGCGGAAUGACGGCCUUCGGGUUAUGAACCGCUUUCGCCUGUGACGAAGCGUGAGUGACGGUAAUGGGUAAAGAAGCACCGGCUAACUACGUG
rnacentral:rRNA from 1 species